rnacentral:rRNA from 1 species
AGUGCUUGCACUUGCUGACGACCGGCGCACGGGUGCGUAACGCGUAUACAAUCUGCCUUAUACUGGGGGAUAGCCUUUAGAAAUGAAGAUUAACACCCCAUAGUCUAUAGAAGUGGCAUCACUAUUAUAGUAAAGGUUACGGUAUAAGAUGAGUAUGCGUCCUAUUAGUUUGUUGGUAAGGUAACGGCUUACCAAGACUACGAUAGGUAGGGGCCCUGAGAGGGGGAUCCCCCACACUGGUACUGAGACACGGACCAGACUCCUACGGGAGGCAGCAGUGAGGAAUAUUGGACAAUGGAGGCAACUCUGAUCCAGCCAUGCCGCGUGCAGGAAGACUGCCCUAUGGGUUGUAAACUGCUUUUAUACGGGAAGAAACACCCCUACGUGUAGGGACUUGACGGUACCGUAAGAAUAAGCAUCGGCUAACUCCGUGCCAGCAGCCGCGGUAAUACGGAGGAUGCAAGCGUUAUCCGGAAUCAUUGGGUUUAAAGGGUCCGUAGGCGGGCAAUUAAGUCAGAGGUGAAAGUUUGCGGCUCAACCGUAAAAUUGCCUUUGAUACUGGUUGUCUUGAAUCAUUGUGAAGUGGUUAGAAUAUGUAGUGUAGCGGUGAAAUGCAUAGAUAUUACAUAGAAUACCAAUUGCGAAGGCAGAUCACUAACAAUGUAUUGACGCUGAGGGACGAAAGCGUGGGGAGCGAACAGGAUUAGAUACCCUGGUAGUCCACGCCGUAAACGAUGGAUACUAGCUGUUCGGCUUCGGCUGAGUGGCUAAGCGAAAGUGAUAAGUAUCCCACCUGGGGAGUACGUUCGCAAGAAUGAAACUCAAAGGAAUUGA